UACGUAGGUGGCUAGCGUUGUCCGGAUUUACUGGGCGUAAAGAGCGCGCAGGCGGUCGUUCAAGUCGAGUGUGAAAGCCCCCGGCUCAACUGGGGAGGGUCACUCGAUACUGAUCGACUCGAAGGCAGAAGAGGGAAGCGGAAUUCCCGGUGUAGUGGUGAAAUGCGUAGAUAUCGGGAGGAACACCAGUGGCGAAGGCGGCUUUCUGGUCUGUAACUGACGCUGAGGCGCGAAAGCGUGGGGAGCAAACAGG
rnacentral:rRNA from 1 species